AUGCGACGCUUGACUAUGGCGGCGAAUACAGCAGCAUCAGUAUUGUUACAGCUAGGAUUCAGUGCGUUGCCCGAGACGUGUUUUGGUGCUAUCCGUUUUGAAAGUACAUUGCGACCUGUGCUUUAUCAUUGUGGUUUAGGUAUCCGAACGUUUUCAGCUAAAGCCAACCAUCCGCAUUCUGUCCGACAGUGGACACGGUGCUAUUCUCGGUAUUCGGCUAAUAGAAUAAUGACUGGAGCGGACACAUUCCGAUUCGCAGAUUAUGACUGUGUUGGAUUUGAUUUAGAUAACACUCUGCUUCGUUAUCAGAUUGGUAAUAUGAUGGAACUAGAGUACGAGAUUAUGUCUAAAUUUCUGGUGGAACAGCGAGGGUACUCUGGCAAGUAUCUGCUGCAGGCACCGGACAUUGAUUUUUUGCAGAAAGGAUUAAUCAUCGAUUUCGAGCGUGGGAAUGUCCUUAAAGUUGGUCCGGAUGGCACGAUUCAUCAGGCCACACAUGGUACCCAGAAAAUGGUCGAAUCGGAAAUAAUUGCCUAUUACGGGGACGAGAAGAAGUGGGAGGUCACGACAGAGUACUGUGAAAAUAUGCUGGUAGCAUGGAAUGGUCCAUUGUCGGAGAAGAUGCGUACGGUGCUAGAUUACUUCGAUAUUUGCGCAACGCUCUUGUUCGGAAGAAUCAUUGAUACCUUGGAUGAAGAUUCCCAUGAACGGAUAGGGCGCUACAAUAUAUGGCCGGACGUGCUCGAUGCGCUCGUGUACAUGUACUCCCGGGAACAUUUCGGUCUAGGCGUGGGAGGUUAUUUCCAAUCACUAACAGAACAGCCUGAGAAGUAUCUCCAGAAAGCUUCUCCCAAAGUAGUUUCCUGGCUGCGGGAGUUGAAAAAGACGAAAACAACGUUUCUCGUUACAGGCUCGCAUAUAGAUUUCGCGAAUUUCACCGCUUCCUAUGCGUUAGGCCCAGAUUGGUCCGAACUGUUUGACGUUGUUGUUGGAUAUGCGAAAAAGCCUGGCUUCUUCACCGGUGCCAAGCCUUUUGUUGGACUGCAGAAUGCUGUCGAAACUGAUCCGCUCACUCCAUCGCAAUUAGAACGCAACGGCAUCUACUCGCAGGGUAAUUGGCGAGAUCUAACGGUACUCCUGGAGAGGCUUUCGCACAAAACCAAACCUCGCUAUCUCUACAUUGGUGACAAUCUCAUCCAGGACGUUUACACUCCUUCAAAGUUCACCAAAGCGGACACUAUCGCAAUAGUAGAGGAAAUGUCGGCAGAAGGAAUGAAGAAUCAUCCCCACAAUACCCAUCCCGAUGGGCGGUACCUACAGUCUAGCUUUUGGGGAUCGUACUUUUCGGCUAGUUCGAAUCCACGCUCGGAAGAGCCAUCGCUCUGGGCCGACAUCAUCAAGCGCCAUGCUCGAAUUUGUGUGCCAAACAUGGACGAAGUUGCACAGUAUCCGAUCGAUUACAACUACAACAGUUUUACGGAAAGCGUGACUUGCUCCGAUGGUUACUAUCCCGCCGAACCGAUGACGCUGGUCAAUUGAACGCUAGAAUCUGGUAGGCCCCCGAUCUAGAUAAGUUUUCUUGCACUCGUCUCGAUAGAAAACGUUGGGACGCUUAAUCACAUGAUGCACAAACCAAACUAAAAAAUGUCAGACAACUCGCACCCUUCAACAGAGAACAUCCACCAUCAGUGAAGCUGCAUCCCAUUAAUCCCGAAGAAAUGCCGUACAUUGGUCAAUGAAUUACUGGCGCGAGCACCUAUAUACACGAAUGAAUUCGAAGUCGGCGGAAGCCUCGUGUUUAUUAACAGACCGUGGUUCCAGUGGCUAGCGAACUGAAUGGGACAAAAGUAGCCCCCGCGUACAGACACGAGCAUCUGUUGCUCUGUGCCACAAUACGAUUUAACACGAUUGAAGUAUUCAUCGCCCCUGAACGAUAAAAGUAAUAAUUUAAGCGGUCCGCGUUAACAUACAGUGAACAGUGGGCAAACUCAGUGCCAGUGGGUGAGCUGAGAUUAAAUUGCAUUACAAUUUUGCGACUGUUCCAUGGUUGGUUUGCUGUGCUCUUGUUUUGUCUAGCGACUGUUCAUAAUCUGUUUAGUUUAUUUAAUAACUCAAACGACGCAUUUGGCUAUGGAAAGUUACAGAACGAAAAAUGUGUUGCAUUCCUCCGUUUCACUUCUGGUCAGAUGCUUGCGACAAUAAAUUGAUAUCCAAUAACUCAAGUAAAGAAUUGAAAGUCAGAUAGUUUGAUUUCUCACAUUAACAGUUAUUUGUUACAUGUUUCCUUUAUUUCCUAGAAAUAUUAAUAGAGAACCAUAGAGCGUAAAAGGUGGCUUCCAAAAAGCUUCUAUAUAGAAAUGUUAUGUAAAUAUGUAAACAAGCUCACCAGAACAAUAUAUAUCUUUGUGUAGAUGCUGACGAAUUUUCUAUCGAAACUAGAAGCAAAUAAUUGUCACAAAUAGUAGCAAUAAUAAUUUAAAAGCAUUCACUCGCAAUCUUUUAAUGAUGUUUCAUUAAUCUCAACGGUAGCCAAUGUUUUAUAUUCAACGUUGUAAUGUUCAAUAAAUGCCGGGAAUUUAUCA